AGGAAGAGCCGCAGCCUUGGCGGCUGGACUCGGGAGCAUGGGGAGACUGUUUCAAAAAAUAAUUAAAAAUCGAGGAAAUAUCCUAGAAAAGCCCUUUUGGCGUGAAAACCCCAAAGAGGAUCCAGGCUUCCCGAAACGGAGGUUUCGGGUGCCGGAAAGGUAAACUCUGGCUGUGAAAAGGAGUGGAAGGCUUGUAUUCAGACAUGGGUUGGCACUGGACAAGGACUCGAGUCCUUGUCUCUUCAUCAAGGCACAAAUUCCAGGGCAAGAAGAUUAAUGCAUUUCAUUCAGACAUGGGUCUUGAGAAGAGAUUUACCCUGGAUCAAAUGAAAGGUUCCCCAUCGAGGAUGUGGCCAUGAUGUGAUUUCACACUCCAGGGGGGCUGCAGAGAAGACCAAAUGAACAGAGGCACAGGAUCUUGGGGACUGUGAAGCUGGGAAGAUUUUGGUGGGCUGAGGAUGUGGAAUCUUAUUGUCCUUCUACCCUUUUAACUUUCUCUGAAGCCCCUCAAUAAAAUUGUCUGAU